rnacentral:rRNA from 1 species
ACGUAGGGUGCAAGCGUUAUCCGGAAUUAUUGGGCGUAAAGAGCUCGUAGGCGGUUUGUCGCGUCUGUCGUGAAAGUCCGGGGCUCAACUCCGGAUCUGCGGUGGGUACGGGCAGACUAGAGUGAUGUAGGGGAGACUGGAAUUCCUGGUGUGGCGGUGGAGUGGGCAUAUAUCAGGAGGAACACCGAAGGCGAAGGCAGGUCACUGGACAAUAACUGUCGCUGAGGAGCGAAAGCAUGUGGAACGAACAG